CAAGCAGUUGUCAGUGGGUCUUGUAGUUAGUAGAUACUUCUUCCUCUCCCCACACCAACGCUUAUUGGGCCGUCCUUUCCCAGCUCUAAAGCUGAGAACCCUGCCCUUUUGUGCUCCUCUGGCCUAGGCCUGCUGGCAGCAGCAGCUCCACACUUCUGCCUGGAGGGCAAGAAAAGGAGGGGCUUGAGGGUGAGGGGACUCACAGAGUUGGAGGGGCAUGCCACUUUGCCCAUUUGCUUAUUUCAUCGGUGAUUCAUUUUUCUUUCAUGAGAGAAGGAAAAACGAGAGGAGAGAGUGAAGGUAAAAAGGAAGUUCUGCAGCCCUGGAAGAAUGUCUGAGGGACAUUCUGAUUCAGGAGUUUAUAGCUUGGGCAGGGUUGGCACUGCUACUCACAUGAUACAUAAGAACCAGGCUGAUGAGUUGAAAAUUAGCUUCUGUUUUGAUUUUGUCCCAGAAUACAAAAACAUUCACUUUCCUUGAUAGAAAGCAGAGUUGAGAAGACUUUCUAUCUGGCAAUAUUUAUAAACUUUAUGGGAUCCUUACAUAAUGAGAUGAAACGAAGUUUUAUUAUCUUAAUGGCUGUUGCUUAGAAAUGUUUUGGGACCCCGCGGGCUUGAGUGUUUCUUGGCCACAAAACUUCAAAGUAUAAUGUAAAACUGGCUUGCACUGGAUAUGAGAGAAAUUCACAUUUUGCUCUGAGGAUAAAGGGAGAAGAUAGACAAGAAGAGAAGAAAUGCAAGGAGGAGGAAGACAGAGCAUGGAGCCAAGUGGACAGAGGAGAGGACCAGGUGCGGGUACUGGCAGGUGAAGCAUGCAGUCAUGGGGACGGCUGAGGCUGUGCGAGAGGCAUGGUGCUGCUUUUGUGACUUAUGGAAAAAAUCCCUCUCUACUUUGAGAUCAUAUUCUUCUUUUUUUAUAUACAAUUGUAAUCUGAUCCGGGCUGAAAAACGAAGUAUAGCAGUUUAAAUAGCAGGAAGUAGUCAACAACUCAUUAUAAAAGCAACGGAAAACACGGAAAUGUGCAUCAGAAAGUCCCACCGGUUUCUCCCAAGUGUUUAACCUUGAGAAGAUCACUGAACUUCUCUGUAAAGCAGGCAAUAUGUGUCCCUGUGUUUCUCACCGGUUGGAUGGUAAGCCCUGAACACAUAUCAAGUAGGGUUGCUAUUCAUGUGGCCUGCCCUCAGCUGCUAUUGUAUUCUUGUCCUCUGGGAUUUUCUGGACUUGUAAAACCUCAAGCUGCAAUUAAAACACCAUCCUCCACACCCUAGGCCAGAAUGCCUGGGCUCACCUGGGUGACUCAGCUGAGACAUGGCAAAAAAACACUCAAAACUUUGAAUCUGAGCCGGCUUCUUUCAUUCAAGUAAGGGCCAGUUCACAGAGCCCCUCCAAGGGAGAUGGUGCUUGGAGUAGGGAGGUAGGAAAAGGUUGAUAUAGUUUGGUUCUGUGCCUCCACCCAAAUCUCAUCUCCUGUUAGGGAGGGGCCUGGUAGGAGGUGAUUGGAUCAUGCGGGCAGUUUCCCCCAUGCUGUUCUCAUGAUAGUGAGUGAGUUCUCACAAGAUCUGAUGGUUUUAAAGUGUGGCACUUCCCACCUUGCUCUUUCUCUCUAUGGCCACCAUGUAAGAUGUGCCUUGCUUCCCGUCACCAUUUUAAGUUUCCUGAGGCCUCCCCAGCCAUGCAGAACUAUGAGUCAAUUAAACCUCUUUCCUUUGUAACUUACCCAGUCUCAGGUAGCUCUUUGUAGCAGUGUGAAAAUGGACUAAUACAGGGGUCCACAAUGAAGUCCUGGAUUCCUCAGAGGGAGGAGUGGGGAGAAAUGAAAUAUUAGUCCGCACUCUCUCCCUCAGUGAGAUUCCUGUAGGUUUUCUGGAGUAACUGAUCAGGACUAAGUCUAGAAAAAUUGGAAAUAGAAGAAAUGAAAUUUGUUUUGAACUGAACUUCAGUUUUGCUAUUCUGCAACUCUUAGUUCCUUUUUUGAUGCUCUUUCUCUUUCUCCCAUGUCAUGCUCAUAGUACUCCCACCCCCACCACCAAUCUCUCCUAUUCUGCCUACCAAAACUUGCACUUGGAACAGCAUCUGGCCUAGAAGGCCUCAAUAAAUGUGGCUAUUAUUAGCAAAGAAUAAA